UGCCAUGAUGAUUUGAAGCAGCACAAGUCUGU
rnacentral:piRNA from 1 species